CGUCGGCGGCGCGGGUAGGGUAGAAUUAGGGUUUGUUUGGCGAUAAGCCACUGGCGUAUGAUACCAUGUAGAGAGAUUUAGGAGAAGUGUUUUCUUGUAUUACUCACAAAAGUAUAUAUAGAGUACAAAGGGGUAUCAAAUCCUACCAACUAUAAGACUGUACAAUAAUGAAAGAAUAUUUUAUCAAUAAUAAAAAUAUACACAAUAUAUUCUAAUAGAAUAUCUUGAUAAAUGAAUGCACUAAGAAUUAAUUCAGUGAAUGCUUUUCUAAGAAGGAAUUGGCAAAAUAUUUAAAGGCCUAAAGAGAAGGC
rnacentral:lncRNA from 1 species